rnacentral:rRNA from 1 species
CCAGCCGUUGGGUGCCUCGCGCACUUAGUGGCGAAGUUAACGCGAUAAGUCGACCGCCUGGGGAGUACGGCCGCAAGGUUAAAACUCAAAUGAAUUGACGGGGGCCCGCACAAGCGGUGGAGCAUGUGGUUUAAUUCGAUGCAACGCGAAGAACCUUACCUACUCUUGACAUCCUGCGAACGUGUGAGAGAUCACUUGGUGCCUUCGGGAGCGCAGAGACAGGUGCUGCAUGGCUGUCGUCAGCUCGUGUUGUGAAAUGUUGGGUUAAGUCCCGUAACGAGCGCAACCCUUGUCCUUAUUUGCCAGCACGUAAUGGUGGGAACUCUAAGGAGACUGCCGGUGACAAACCGGAGGAAGGUGGGGACGACGUCAAGUCAUCAUGGCCCUUACGAGUAGGGCUACACACGUGCUACAAUGGCCGGUACAAAGGGCAGCGAGCUCGCGAGAGUCAGCGAAUCCCUUAAAGCCGGUCUCAGUCCGGAUCGGAGUCUGCAACUCGACUCCGUGAAGUCGGAAUCGCUAGUAAUCGUGAAUCAGAAUGUCACGGUGAAUACGUUCCCGGGCCUUGCACACACCGCCCGU